UAAAGCUAAUUUAUAUAUAUUAUAAAUUUAAGUUAAUGGGCAAUGCUGUCCACAAAUUUAGUCUAAUUUAUAUGACAAUCGAUUUGAAUAUUUUGCGUGCGGUACAAAGGUCACAGACCCGCAGCUGUCAUUUGUAUCAAAGGUCAUCUUUGUAUUGGCAAAGCGUACACGUGCACAUCUCAUGACCAAUUAUCUUUCAGCCAAUCGAAAUAUAUCUUUGAUGGCAUCAAAACAUGUAACCAAUCAUAAUUCGGUUAAGCCGGUAAAAUAGACCAAAUACACCUGAAAGAGAUCACUUGUUUCAAAGUCUUAACAAAGUAAUGUUCCAAAGCUACUGUAACAUUUUCAGAUAAACCGCGGGCGAAAUGAAAAUUUAACUACCUCGGAUGAUCAAGAAUUGCGCGGGGCAUCGCAAGAAUUAAAUAACACGAUUUAACACUACAAAGAUGGAUUUGAUGUUGGAAUCGAUAUUACGAUAUAUGUAGCGUAGGUUAAAGUGGUUAAAGUGAGACGUUAUGAACUUAUGGCAAACAGUAUUCAACGGCGCAAGCACGUGUAUUUUAUAUUUUUCUCAUUGACAAUGGUCAAAGGAAUAUGUUGCCAGAUUCGUUCAAGUAGUGACAAUUCGACGUUUAGCAGUAACAGAAACAGAAGCUGGCGCUGGGGAAUUAUAAAAGAACGAGUCGCCAAGCGCACUACAGCUGGUCCGUAUGCAAUAUCAUAUCAUGUUUGCGCGCUUGUCAAUUACGGGUAUCGUAAGUAAAAGUUUGCUUCAGAUUUCGUUUAAAACCAAGCAAAAAAUUGUAAAAUUCGAUCUGGUAUAAAAUUCUGGCAUAGGCUAACAUUUGCCAGAACGAUAUAUUUUCUGUUUGUAAUCCAAUAGAGUUAUAUUUCACUGUGAAUUUGAUCUUCGAAUCGACUCAAAGUUCAAAGUUUAAGCGCAAUCAAUUUUAGAGUACUCAUGGUAUAUUUGGGAAUGCGUUUUCAUCCUAACCUAAUUUUAUAAUUCCUUUUGUUAAAAUCCAGUAGUGGUUUGAACUACAUAACGUAUAACUGAGCAAAGGCUUAGAAAGAGAGCCCAUAUAUGCAAGAAAUAGUAAUUAUAAAUUUCCACGCUGUGUAGAUGGAUGAUUUGGGAGCAUUUUAAUUUAAAAUAAUAACUCGAAAGUCAGUUUUUACACACAUUUGCCAUUUGGCACUAUAUAUCAUAUAUUAUGUUUGUUUACCUAUAAUAUACUAUUACUGUAUAAUCUAGCUAUAAUUCUGUUUCAACUGAGUUUGAACUUAAUUUCCACCCAACCUCGUACCCAGAGUUUGGUCAACCUUUGACGCCUUUGUGCUUUUCAAUGGAACAAGACGCCUGCUCAGGCGUUCACACUUCCCUCAAAAUAACGACAGUGUGAUGCCUGGAAUAUGAGAGCAGUCACAUCAGCAAUAUUGCUCUUUCUCGAGGGCAAAAAUUUAGCUAUUGCUACCAAUACAAUUUAGACCAGCUAUGAAAC